CACAUGCAAGUCGAACGGGAUCCAAGGAGCGUUUUUCGUUUUUUGGUGAGAGUGGCGAACGGGUGAGUAACACGUGAGUAACCUGUCCUUUUCUUUGGGAUAAGCUCCUGAAAGGGUGUUUAAUACCUUAUGUUCUGUCUGCCUCGCAUGGGGUGGGCGGGAAAGAUUUUUUCGGUGAAGGGUGGGCUCGCGGUCUAUCAGCUUGUUGGUGGGGUGAUGGCUUACCAAGGCUUUGACGGGUAGCCGGCCUGAGAGGGUGGUCGGUCACAUUGGGACUGAGAUACGGCCCAGACUCCUGCGGGAGGCAGCAGUGGGGGAUAUUGCACAAUGGGCGCAAGCCUGAUGCAGCGACGCCGCGUGGGGGAUGAAGGCCUUCGGGUUGUAAACUUCUUUUGCUCUGAACAAGGCGCACCAUGGGGUGUGUUGAGUGUAGGGGUUGAUUAGCGCCGGCUAACUACGUGCCAGCAGCCGCGGUAAUACGUAGGGCGCAAGCGUUGUCCGGAAUUAUUGGGCGUAAAGGGCUUGUAGGUGGCUGGUUGCGUCUGUCGUGAAAGCUCAUGGCUUAACUGUGGGUUUGCGGUGGGUA
rnacentral:rRNA from 1 species